AACGGCCGUACCAUGCUGAAUAUACCGGUUCUCGUUAGAUCACCGAAGUUAAGCAUCAUUGGGCGUGGUCAGUACUUGGGUGGGUGACCACCUGGGAACACCGCGUGC
rnacentral:rRNA from 1 species